CACAGAGACAUAGGGUCACAGACACUGGGAGACAUGGGGACACAGACAUGUGGGGAAACUAAGACACUAGGGACACUGAGAGAUAUGGGAACACAGACGUGUUCCCAUAUCUCUCAGUGUCCCUAGUGUCUUAGUUUCCCCACAUGUCUGUGUCCCCAUGUCUCCCAGUGUCUGUGACCCUAUGUCUCUGUGU